rnacentral:rRNA from 1 species
CCUACGGGCGGCAGCAGUGGGGAAUAUUGCACAAUGGGCGCAAGCCUGAUGCAGCCAUGCCGCGUGUGUGAAGAAGGCCUUCGGGUUGUAAAGCACUUUCAGCGGGGAGGAAGGCAGUGAGGUUAAUAACCUCAUCGAUUGACGUUACCCGCAGAAGAAGCACCGGCUAACUCCGUGCCAGCAGCCGCGGUAAUACGGAGGGUGCAAGCGUUAAUCGGAAUUACUGGGCGUAAAGCGCACGCAGGCGGUCUGUCAAGUCGGAUGUGAAAUCCCCGGGCUCAACCUGGGAACUGCAUUCGAAACUGGCAGGCUAGAGUCUUGUAGAGGGGGGUAGAAUUCCAGGUGUAGCGGUGAAAUGCGUAGAGAUCUGGAGGAAUACCGGUGGCGAAGGCGGCCCCCUGGACAAAGACUGACGCUCAGGUGCGAAAGCGUGGGGAGCAAACAGGAUUAGAUACCCGGGUAGUC